rnacentral:lncRNA from 1 species
CGUCGACGUCAUACAUGUAUCGGCGACGUGCCAAAGUCAUGAAAGUAAGCACAGACGUAUCAGUGAUAUUCGGAUAGAAAGUGUCUCUCUACCAAAGUAAGUACAGUCAAACCAGUGUUAUUCAGAUAUUUAGUUUACUUUAAAUUCAAAAAUUAAUGCAUGCAUUCUCAGGAAUAGAUAACCUAAGCUUAAUUUGGCAAAACUUUUAGGAAGUUUGUGACCUUAAUGUUCUUCAACUUCGUACUUUAUUUGGCCUUUUUUACUUUCAUUUAUUCGAGCGUUACUGAGGAGUCUUUUAUAGGCGAAACGCAC